rnacentral:rRNA from 1 species
GACGAACGCUGGCGGCGUGCUUAACACAUGCAAGUCGAACGGAAAGGCCCUGCUUUUGUGGGGUGCUCGAGUGGCGAACGGGUGAGUAACACGUGAGUAACCUGCCCUUGACUUUGGGAUAACUUCAGGAAACUGGGGCUAAUACCGGAUAGGAGCUCCUGCUGCAUGGUGGGGGUUGGAAAGUUUCGGCGGUUGGGGAUGGACUCGCGGCUUAUCAGCUUGUUGGUGGGGUAGUGGCUUACCAAGGCUUUGACGGGUAGCCGGCCUGAGAGGGUGACCGGCCACAUUGGGACUGAGAUACGGCCCAGACUCCUACGGGAGGCAGCAGUGGGGAAUAUUGCACAAUGGGCGGAAGCCUGAUGCAGCAACGCCGCGUGCGGGAUGACGGCCUUCGGGUUGUAAACCGCUUUCGCCUGUGACGAAGCGUGAGUGACGGUAAUGGGUAAAGAAGCACCGGCUAACUACGUGCCAGCAGCCGCGGUGAUACGUAGGGUGCGAGCGUUGUCCGGAUUUAUUGGGCGUAAAGGGCUCGUAGGUGGUUGAUCGCGUCGGAAGUGUAAUCUUGGGGCUUAACCCUGAGCGUGCUUUCGAUACGGGUUGACUUGAGGAAGGUAGGGGAGAAUGGAAUUCCUGGUGGAGCGGUGGAAUGCGCAGAUAUCAGGAGGAACACCAGUGGCGAAGGCGGUUCUCUGGGCCUUUCCUGACGCUGAGGAGCGAAAGCGUGGGGAGCGAACAGGCUUAGAUACCCUGGUAGUCCACGCUGUAAACGGUGGGUACUAGGUGUGGGGUCCAUUCCACGGGUUCCGUGCCGUAGCUAACGCUUUAAGUACCCCGCCUGGGGAGUACGGCCGCAAGGCUAAAACUCAAAGGAAUUGACGGGGCCCCGCACAAGCGGCGGAGCAUGCGGAUUAAUUCGAUGCAACGCGUAGAACCUUACCUGGGUUUGACAUGGAUCGGGAGUGCUCAGAGAUGGGUGUGCCUCUUUUGGGGUCGGUUCACAGGUGGUGCAUGGCUGUCGUCAGCUCGUGUCGUGAGAUGUUGGGUUAAGUCCCGCAACGAGCGCAACCCUUGUUCACUGUUGCCAGCACGUUAUGGUGGGGACUCAGUGGAGACCGCCGGGGUCAACUCGGAGGAAGGUGGGGAUGACGUCAAGUCAUCAUGCCCCUUAUGUCCAGGGCUUCACGCAUGCUACAAUGGCUGGUACAGAGAGUGGCGAGCCUGUGAGGGUGAGCGAAUCUCGGAAAGCCGGUCUCAGUUCGGAUUGGGGUCUGCAACUCGACCUCAUGAAGUCGGAGUCGCUAGUAAUCGCAGAACAGCAACGCUGCGGUGAAUACGUUCCCGGG